rnacentral:rRNA from 1 species
CAGUCGCCACGGUAAUACAGAGGGUGCGAGCGUUAAUCGGAUUUACUGGGCGUAAAGCGUGCGUAGGCGGUUUGUUAAGUCGGAUGUGAAAGCCCUGGGCUUAACCUAGGAAUUGCAUUCGAUACUGGCGGACUAGAAAUCGGUAGAGGGAGGUGGAACUCCAGGUGUAGCGGUGAAAUGCGUAGAUAUCUGGAAGAACACCGAUGGCGAAGGCAGCCUCCUGGGCCUGAUUUGACGUUGAGGCACGAAAGCGUGGGGAGCAAACAGGAUUAGAUACCCCCGUAGUCCCUGUCUCUUAUAC